AAAAACCAAUCGGGUCUAAAAGCCCGCUCUUUGGUGAAUCUGAAUAACUUUGCCGAUCGCACGGUCCUAGUACCGGCGACGUAUCUUUCAAGUGUCUGCCUUAUCAACUUUCGAUGGUAGGUUAUACGCCUACCAUGGUAGUAACGGGUAACGGAGAAUAAGGGUUCGACUCCGGAGAGGGAGCCUGAGAAACGGCUACCACAUCCAAGGAAGGCAGCAGGCGCGCAAAUUACCCACUUCCAGAACGGAGAGGUAGUGACGAAAAAUAACGAGACAGUCCUCUUCGAGGUCUGUCAUCGGAAUGGGUACAAUUUAAAUCCUUUAACGAGGAUCUAUUGGAGGGCAAGUCUGGUGCCAGCAGCCGCGGUAAUUCCAGCUCCAAUAGCGUAUAUUAAAGUUGUUGCGGUUAAAACGCUCGUAGUUGGAUCUGCGGCCUGGGAGAACGGUCCCCCGAAAGGGUGGUAACUGUUACUCUUAGCCUAAAAUUUUAGUCUACUCUACGGUGCCCUUAACCGGGUGCUUAGAGUGACUAGAACGUUUACUUUGAAAAAAUUAGAGUGCUUAAAGCAGGCGAAUUCGCCUGAAUAAGGUGCAUGGAAUAAUGGAAUAGGACCUCGGUUCUAUUUUGUUGGUUUUCGGAGCCCGAGGUAAUGAUUAAGAGGAACAGACGGGGGCAUUCGUAUUCCGGCGCUAGAGGUGAAAUUCUUGGACCGCCGGAAGACGGACGACUGCGAAAGCAUUUGCCAAGAAUGUUUUCAUUAAUCAAGAACGAAAGUUAGAGGUUCGAAGGCGAUCAGAUACCGCCCUAGUUCUAACCGUAAACGAUGACAACCAGCGAUUAGUCGGCGUUAAUAUAUGACCUCGGUUCUAUUUUGUUGGUUUUCGGAGCCCGAGGUAAUGAUUAAGAGGAACAGACGGGGGCAUUCGUAUUCCGGCGCUAGAGGUGAAAUUCUUGGACCGCCGGAAGACGGACGACUGCGAAAGCAUUUGCCAAGAAUGUUUUCAUUAAUCAAGAACGAAAGUUAGAGGUUCGAAGGCGAUCAGAUACCGCCCUAGUUCUAACCGUAAACGAUGACAACCAGCGAUUAGUCGGCGUUAAUAUAUGACCCGACUAGCAGCUUCCGGGAAACCAAAGUUUUUCGUUUCCGGGGGAAGUAUGGUUGCAAAGCUGAAACUUAAAGGAAUUGACGGAAGGGCACCACCAGGAGUGGAGCCUGCGGCUUAAUUUGACUCAACACGGGAAAACUCACCCGGCCCGGACACCGUAAGGAUUGACAGACUGAGAGCUCUUUCUUAAUUCGGUGGGUGGUGGUGCAUGGCCGUUCUUAGUUGGUGGAGCGAUUUGUCUGGUUAAUUCCGAUAACGAACGAGACUCUGGCCUAUUAAAUAGCCGGUAUAUAUUGAAAAGUUUACCGCGCUUCUUAGAGGGACAACCGGCGUCUAGCCGCGUGAAAUAGAGCAAUAACAGGUCUGUGAUGCCCUUAGAUGUCCGGGGCUGCACGCGCGCUACACUGAAAGAAUCAGUAUGCGCUUACGCCUAGUUCGGAAGAACCGGGUAACCCUAGCAAAUUCUUUCGUGCUUGGGAUAGGGAAUUGCAAUUAUUUCCCUUAAACGAGGAAUUCCCAGUAAAUGCGGGUCAUAAGCUCGCGUUGAUUACGUCCCUGCCC
rnacentral:rRNA from 1 species